UAUUUAUACACCAUCAAAUUUCACUCUCAUUUCAAGAAGGCGCUGCAAUGACGAAAAUCUUGUCCACAAGUUUGCUUGCCACAAUCUUGAUCGCUUUCAUUGUUCUCGAUUCUUCCAUUGUUGCAUCAGCCUCGUCUAUAACAGAUCGGGAAUCGUUUUGUGCAAGGAAAUUGUUCGGUAGUUGCUUGAAGCACUCGAUGAAUUAUAAAGGGCUACUGCCAUCGUGUGGCAUCGGGUUGAGACGGGCGCUUAGCCCACCUCCCCCGCCUCAACACAGUGAAUCGCCGCCGAUAAUGUAAUAGAACUAUGAAGAUGGUGUUUAUGACAGAGGAAUCAGGGUAAUGUAAAAUGUAUUACAACAUGGAUUUCUCGUGAUCCUAAAAAUCUUAUAAGAUUUGGCAGUUUCUUCGUGUAUA